rnacentral:lncRNA from 1 species
GGAGGCUCCUGGUGUCCAAGGUUCAGUCCCUGGUGGCCGACUCCAUGGCUCUGGCCCAAGGGGAGCAGAACAAGAUGGCGGCAGGGCCUGGAGGAGGAGAGCAGCUCAGGACAGGGCACCAGGGAGCAGAGAGAGCUCUGCCCACCAGGGACAGGACAGAGACCCCAAAGGCACAGCCCAGGGACCCCCUCCUCCAGCCACACCCCACCUGCUGCAGUCACCACCCAGUGAGUCCAUCCAAGUGGAUUAAUCCACUUUCAGUCUACACCUCUUCCUAACCCAAUC